rnacentral:rRNA from 1 species
GACGAACGCUGGCGGCGUGCUUAACACAUGCAAGUCGAACGAAGUGGCGAACGGGUGAGUAACGCGUAAUCAACCUGCCCUUCAGAGGGGGACAACAGUUGGAAACGACUGCUAAUACCGCAUACUGAAGGAGGGGAGUGCGUCUGAUUAGCUAGUGGGAGGGGGACCGGCCCACCAAGGCGAUGAUCAGUAGCCGGUCUGAGAGGUUGCAUGGCCACGUUGGGACUGGUACACGGGCCAGACUCCUACGGGAGGCAGCAGUGGGGAAUCUUCCGCAAUGGACGAAAGUCUGACGGAGCAACGCCGCGUGAGCGAUGACGGCCUUCGGGUUGUAAAGCUCUGUUAAUCGGGACGCGGUACCGGAAUAGAAAGCCACGGCUAACUACGUGCCAGCAGCCGCGGUAAUUC